rnacentral:rRNA from 1 species
GACGAACGCUGGCGGCGUGCUUAACACAUGCGAGUCGAACGGAAAGGCCCUGCUUUUGUGGGGUGCUCGAGUGGCGAACGGGUGAGUAACACGUGAGUAACCUGCCCUUGACUUUGGGAUAACUUCAGGAAACUGGGGCUAAUACCGGAUAGGAGCUCCUGCUGCAUGGUGGGGGUUGGAAAGUUUCGGCGGUUGGGGAUGGACUCGCGGCUUAUCAGCUUGUUGGUGGGGUAGUGGCUUACCAAGGCUUUGACGGGUAGCCGGCCUGAGAGGGUGACCGGCCACCUGGGGAGCGAGGUACGGCACACUGGCGUGCGGGCGGCCGCAGGGGUACGUCUCGCACGCGGGCAGGCCGCUUGAGGCACGCACGCGGCGGCCUGGCCGCGGCCCGUGGGUGUGGACACCGCGGUCGCCGGGGGCGAAGGGGGGGUGCCGGUGGUGGAAAAAGACCCCCCGGCAACCGACGCUCCAUCACUCGCGUUAAUAAUCGGACGCCCACUCGCUUCCUC